CUCUCAGAAGGUGCGAUGGGGGUGGAGGCGUCCUCCUUAGUGCAGCCUGCCUCAACCGUACCACUGUCAUCUGCGACCUGCACAUCAUUCCUUCAUUCAGCAAGUGCCACUAAGCGUCUCCCAGUUGCACUGGCAUCUGGGGUUCCGGGGAGCUCCACAGAACCCACGUCUUGUAGAUCCCGCAGUGGCCUCCUCAGACAGACACACAGAAAGAAGCAAGGCCACCAACUGUCCAGGUGGACCGAUGAUGGAUGGCCCGAGGAGGAGUAGAAGGACCAGGAAGAGAAGGGGCUGGAGAACUGACCAGUUGGCAGGAUCUCCAGCAGCUCAACGGAGGCCCCACGGAGGACAGCGGUGUGGACUAGAGUCCCCCUCAUGGCCCCGGGACAGCCCAGAACCCUUGGUGGACCCCACACCAGAUGAGGCUCUUUCCAAGAC
rnacentral:lncRNA from 1 species